rnacentral:rRNA from 1 species
GCAAACGCUGGCGGCGUGCCUAAUACAUGCAAGUCGAACGGGGAAAGUCUUCGGAUGAGUACUAGUGGCGAACGGGAGAGGAACACGUGGGUAAUCUACCUUUAGAUGAAGAAUAACUAGUCGAAAGAUUAGCUAAUACUUCGUAAGACCACAGUAUCUAAUGAUACAGGGGUUAUAGGAGCAAUCCGUCUUUAGAUGAGCCCGCGUCCGAUUAGCUAGUUGGUGAGGUAAUGGCUCACCAAGGCUGUGAUUGGUAGCUGGUCUGAGAGGAUGACCAGCCUCACUGGAACUGACACACGGUCCAGACUCCUACGGGAGGCAGCAGUAGGGAAUAUUGCACAAUGGACGAAAGUCUGAUGCAGCGACGCCGCGUGGGUGAUGAAGGAUUUCGGUUCGUAAAGCCCUUUUGUCAGGGAAUAAAAAAAUGAAUGUACCUGAAGAAUAAGCACCGGCUAACUUCGU